GAUUAAGCCAUGCAUGUGUAAGUAUAAAUAAUUGACUUUGAAACUGCGAAUGGCUCAUUAUAUCAGUUAUAGUUUAUUUGGUGAAGGAUACUAAUUGGAUAACCGUAGUAAUUCUAGGGCUAAUACAUGAGUAAAGUCCCAUUGGGAUGUGUUUAUUAGAAUGAAAACCAUAUGCUUCGGCAUGAUAGUGAGUAAUAGUAACCUAUCGUAUCGCAUGCUUAAAGUAGCGAUGAGUCUUUCAAGUUUCUGCCCUAUCAUCUUUCUAUGGUAGCAUAUGGGUCUACCAUG
rnacentral:rRNA from 1 species